CAGCGGGAAGUCCUAUUCAAGAUUAUCCCCACAUAUACUCUGGACAGAAGCGGCCUUUUUCAGCACUGGGCAAUGAUUCUUCUUAUUGUGCGAGCCGCAACCCUCGUGCUCAACAUGAGAGUAGUACCUAUGCUACAUUAACUUCAAGCUAUGGUGGGUCGCCCCAUGCCAUCACUGGGUAUUCUCCUCCAUAUCAUCAUGACACACCAGGAGAUGUCUGCCAGAUUCUGAUUAUGGACUAACAGAACCACGGGGUGGAAUUCAGAUGAUGCAAGCCAGUUCUCACAAAUCAGGGCCGCCCCAAGGAAGCAGACGUUAACAGAGAUGCAAAUUGACCGCAGCUAAAGAUGAUCGUUUUGCGACUCGGGCAAUCGAGAGGAUUCAUGUAAAUUCACAUGAAGGCGUGUCCCAGGAGCCUCAUAGCUGACCCGGAAAUAGUUGGGGGUUAUAGGAUGGUCAUGUCUGUGUCGUACAUUUGUGUACAGCUUACCUUUGAGUGUAGCAAAUGGUGCUGUGUGCAUAUUCUGCGCUAGUUAUCAUGUGCGAUUAAGGUCGGAAAUGCUUUUGUUACUCCAUCUAACAUCCAAAGGAGAAGCAAGUAUUUUUCUC